UGGUGGUGAGAGCGGUGGCCUUGAUAGAGGUUCCUUGAAGGUGGUGGUGAGGGUCUCUUGAUCCAAGGAAUGUGAUCAAUGCCACCUGGGAGUGAACUUAUCCUCCCAGGUGGCCCAUGACCCCCAGGGGCUGAGCGCCCUAUCAUGAGUAGUACUGAUAGUGAGGGUGUAGUAUUGCCAUCUAGUGGUGGUAGUCAGAGUUAGUCAUAUUACCAGUCAUUGUGUUAUAGUGAAGGUCAGGACAGUGACCAACCUCAAGGCCUCUAAAAAUCAGUUGAACUUUAAUGGUCGUACGGAGGAGAUGUGCUGCUCCUUCUCCUGCCACCCCCCCCCCCUCCCUUCCCCACCGCCGGCUUUACAGUUUCCUCAUCCUCGGUAACGUGUGGUAACAGGGUUGCUGUGCCUGGCUGCAACAUUGAUCAACAUAGCAACUUUGACCAGUCUGAGGGGUGGAGACAACUACACAAGUAUAUAACAUAUAACAUUGUAUUAUAUGGAGAUGCAGCAGUUGGAGACGUUGUUAGACGUGAGCAGGGCCCACUUGUAAAGUAUUUCCAGGUUAACGAUAUUGCCCACGCUGUGGGCAGCGGCUGUGUGGUGAAGUCCACGCUGUGGGCAGCGGCUGUGUGGUGAAGUCCACGCUGUGGGCAGCGGCUGUGUGGUGAAGUCCACGCUGUGGGCAGCGGCUGUGUGGUGAAGUCCACGCUGUGGGCAGCGGCUGUGUGGUGAAGUCCACGCUGUGGGCAGCGGCUGUGUGGUGAAGUCCACGCUGUGGGCAGCGGCUGUGUGGUGAAGUCCACGCUGUGGGCAGCGGCUGUGUGGUGAAGUCCACGCUGUGGGCAGCGGCUGUGUGGUGAAGUCCACGCUGUGGGCAGC